GACGAACGCUGGCGGCGUGCUUAACACAUGCAAGUCGAACGGAAAGGCCCUGCUUUUGUGGGGUGCUCGAGUGGCGAACGGGUGAGUAACACGUGAGUAACCUGCCCUUGACUUUGGGAUAACUUCAGGAAACUGGGGCUAAUACCGGAUAGGAGCUCCUGCUGCAUGGUGGGGGUUGGAAAGUUUCGGCGGUUGGGGAUGGACUCGCGGCUUAUCAGCUUGUUGGUGGGGUAGUGGCUUACCAAGGCUUUGACGGGUAGCCGGCCUGAGAGGGUGACCGGCCACAUUGGGACUGAGAUACGGCCCAGACUCCUACGGGAGGCAGCAGUGGGGAAUAUUGCACAAUGGGCGGAAGCCUGAUGCAGCAACGCCGCGUGCGUGAUGACGGCCUUCGGGUUGUAAACCGCUUUCGCCUGUGACGAAGCGGGAGUGACGGUAAUGGGUAAAGAAGCACCGGCUAACUACGUG
rnacentral:rRNA from 1 species